ACCGGGAUUGCCUCAGUAACGGCGAGUGAAGCGGCAAGAGCUCAAAUUUGAAAUCUGGCCCCCUCGGGGGUCCGAGUUGUAAUUUGGAGAGGAUGCUUCGGGUUCGGUCCCGGUCCAAGUGCCCUGGGACGGGCCGUCGGAGAGGGUGAGAAUCCCGUCUGCGACCGGUGACUGGGCCUGGGUGAAGCUCCCUCGACGAGUCGAGUUGUUUGGGAAUGCAGCUCUAAAUGGGUGGUAAAUUUCAUCUAAAGCUAAAUAUGGGCCGGAGACCGAUAGCGCACAAGUAGAGUGAUCGAAAGAUGAAAAGCACUUUGGAAAGAGAGUCAAACAGCACGUGAAAUUGUUGAAAGGGAAGCGCUUGCGAUCAGACUCGCCCGGGGAGGUUCAGCUGGCACUUGUGCCGGUGCAUUGCUACCCGGGCGGGCCAGCGUCGGUUUGGAUGGCCUGUCAAAGGCCCCCGGAAGGUAGCGCCCUUUGGGGCGUCUUAUAGCCGGGGGUGUCAUGCGGCCUGUCCGGACCGAGGAACGCGCCUUUGGGCUCGGACGCUGGCGUAAUGGUCGUAAGCGGCCCGUCUUGAAACACGGACCAAGGAGUCUAACAUCCACGCGAGUGUUCGGGUGUUCAAAACCCGUCCGCGCAGUGAAAGCGAACGGAGGUGGGAACCCCCUGGGGUGCACCAUCGACCGAUCCUGAUGUCUUCGGAUGGAUUUGAGUAGGAGCGUGGCUGUUGGGACCCGAAAGAUGGUGAACUAUGCCUGAAUAGGGCGAAGCCAGAGGAAACUCUGGUGGAGGCUCGCAGCGGUUCUGACGUGCAAAUCGAUCGUCAAAUUUGGGUAUAGGGGCGAAAGACUAAUCGAACC
rnacentral:rRNA from 1 species